rnacentral:lncRNA from 1 species
GCUGCAAAAUAAAAACUGGUUCUACUCUGUAAUGCCAAGUAUUGUGAUUGAACUAUCAUUUAUAUUUAGGACUAGGAGAGAGCUUCAAGAUAGGUUACCAGGAUUUUCCAGUGGUCUCCAACAAUGAUAUUGCGCUCAAGAUUCCACAAGCCUUCUGAGGUGAAGAUUAGAAAACGACAAAUGGGAUGCGGUAAAAAUAAACAGAAAAAAUCAACUGCAUCUCAGAUACCAGUGAACCAGGAAACUACAUGUAAAAAUCAAAACCUAAGGAAAUCAUCAAGUAGUGAAGCAUACCAACACCGUGACAGAAAGCAAUGUUACAUACUGACAAGAGACUCAAAAACUCUGCGUUUUGAUUUAGACGAGCAUGGCGAUUGUAAAAUAUCAGUUGAGGAUUCACAAUCCAGUGACGUUCCGAUGGCCAGAAACAGCACUAAAAAACAUUGUAAAAAUUUGGUGACAAUGACUCAGCGAUCAAAAAAUAACUUUCUCCUGUUGGGCAAGAAUAAGAAACAACUGUAUCUGAAGGUCUUGAAUCCAAAUGGAAAGGCAUCACGGUGUCAUAUGGUGGCAGGACACAGCAUGGAAGGGAUUACAGGUGGAGCUCCUGACCUCAGACAGUUGACUGAAGAAAAAAACCAGCUGUUCAUCAUGCAUUACAAACAAGAAGAUUCAGUUAGGUUUCAGUGUUAUACGGACAAGAACUACUACCUUCAUGUCAAUAAGGACUCCGUUGAUCUAUGCAAGAUGAAAGAAACAGAUGCUGAUACAGGAAAAGACUUCUAUUUCAAGGUGGAAUAUGUGUGAUACAUACUUCCCCAGGCCUUUGCAAUGUCUCAAGUAUGUACACAGCCCCUGAAAUGAGCCAAUACAAAAUAGAAAUGAAGGGGGAUUGAGAUCAUGGCAGGAUUAAGUUCCUUAGUUUUGUAUAAAGUUUUUCUGUAGCCUCUGUUUCGUGGUUCACUAUUUUUGAUGUGUAAGGGAGAAGUCAUUUUGUGUUUUAAAUAUACUGUACCUGAGUGAAGUAUGUAACUUAGAGGGGGGGAAUGGCGAGCAGUGUUUCAGAAAAAAGCAAUUUCUUGACAUUAUAUUUAUACUUUAAAGGAGGCUGAUUUGGGAAGUGGGGAACAUAACAGUAGGGGCCCAAAAAUAGGAAAAGAGAAUCACAGAAAAGAUAAAUAGAAAACACUUUUAAUAUUACAUUUUGUAAUAAUGAACUAUUUCUUAGAUGUCGCAUAUGAAUUCACCUACAUGUAUGUGAAUGUGUGUGUACAAUGUACUUACUAUACUGAGGCUUUGCUGCACCAGCCAUUCUGCCCCCACCCUGGAGAUCUGAAAAAAAGAGCGUAAGGACAGAGGGCUAGUAGUUAAAGGCUAACAGCAAAGCUAUUCCACCUUCUCUACCACCCCCCCAAGCUUCUCCAGCCCCCAUUCUUCAUCUUUCCACCCCCACCAAAAAAAAAAUAGCUGCAUGGCCUGAGAAUUCCACUGCCUUAGCAGGAAGAGGGCAGAUUGGUCAUCAUGGAAGGAUGUGCUCCCUGUGAACUUUGCUCUGGUCAAUUCCCAACUCAAUCCUAGAGGGAAACACAAUAGAGAAGGAAAUCUUUAGCUCAGGUACAGAGCAAAGUACAAAACAGUACAAACAAAAAUUGAAAUAAGUGUUUGAAUAAAUGAAUUCAAAGAAUAAACUCA